GCACGUGGACGGCCCGGGGACGAAUGCGCGAGCAGCUCUGAGUCUCUGCACAGACCGCAGCCCCUCCUGUCCCCGUUCCGUUUCCUGCCUCCGGCCGAGCCCUUCCAGGAGCCACACCAGCAGGGCCGGAUGCGCCCAGGGGAGAAGGCACAGGGCUGCCCUGGCCCUGCUCAGGCUGCUGUGCUGAACUCACACCCUCCAGCUGGGAGGAAGGCCUCAGGACGAGGACAGCUGUCUCUGAAAGCCCUCACCGCUCACCGUAGACUGACACGCUGCUGAGGCCCCGACGUGGUCACCCACCCGCAGAUCCCGCGUGUACCGUCUCUUACUGUUCUCCCCAAACAUCUCUGCAGGAACCGGGAGUUAGUAGGGCUGGGGAACGGGGGAUGGGGCAGAGGGCAAAGGCGGUGGUGGGAAGAGGACCUCCGGGGGUGCGAUAGAGGCGGGCCAGGCUCUGCCCAGUGGGGCGCACGGACGUCCCGCAGCUGCUGGAACCAAGCCCCACGGACUGGGGGCCUAAACCCACGACCUUUGUUCUCUCGACGUCUGGAGGCAGAAGUCUGAAACCAAGAUGUGGGCAGGGCCGCUUUCCCCCGGAGGCUCCGAGGGAGGCUCCUUCCUUGCCUCGUCCUGUCGCCAAUGUUGCCAGCGGCACGGGCUUGCAUACAUGUCCUUCCGACCCGUGCCUCUGUCCUUCCACAGCCUUCCCGUCUGUGUGUCUCCAGUGCACCCCCCUUCACCUGUCACCAGAACCAGACCCGCCGUAAAUCCAGGAGGAUCUCAUCCCAGGACCUGUAUGUUGAUCUUAUCUGCAAUGACUCUCUCUUCAAAUAAGUUCACACGCACAGGCACCAGGGGUUAGAACUUGGACUCGUCGGUGACGUCCCAUGACUAAGGGCACCUCACUAACGUCUCCUUAUUAGCGAACUGCCCGGAGUAUGGAUUGGGUCAGGGGCUGUCAGCCUUGCUGCCCCUUGAAAUUCCCCUAGUGCCUUCAAGAAAGGGGGUCCCCUCCCUCCCCAGA